rnacentral:rRNA from 1 species
CCUACGGGUGGCAGCAGUGAGGAAUAUUGGUCAAUGGGCGAGAGCCUGAACCAGCCAAGUCGCGUGAGGGAGUACUGCCCUAUGGGUUGUAAACCUCUUUUGUCGGGGAGCAAAAGCCGGACGUGUCCGGCUGUGAGAGUACCCGAAGAAAAAGCAUCGGCUAACUCCGUGCCAGCAGCAGCGGUAAUACGGAGGAUGCGAGCGUUAUCCGGAUUUAUUGGGGUUAAAGGGUGCGCAGGCGGAUUUUUAAGUCAGCGGUCAAAUCGUGGGGCUCAACCCCAUCCAGCCGUUGAAACUGGGGAUCUAGAGUGUGCGAGAGGGAUGCGGAAUGCGUGGUGUAGCGGUGAAAUGCAUAGAUAUCGCGCAGAACCCCGAUGGCGAAGGCAGCGUGCCGUGCCGCCACUGACGCUGAGGCACGAAAGCGCGGGGAGCGAACAGGAUUAGAUACCCGAGUAGUC